rnacentral:rRNA from 1 species
UCCUACGGGAGGCAGCAGUGGGGAAUUUUGGACAAUGGGCGCAAGCCUGAUCCAGCCAUGCCGCGUGAGUGAAGAAGGCCUUCGGGUUGUAAAGCUCUUUUGUCCGGGAAGAAAUCCUGUUGUUUAAUAUCCGGCAGGGAUGACGGUACCGGAGGAAUAAGCACCGGCUAACUUCGUGCCAGCAGCCGCGGUAAUACGUAGGGUGCAAGCGUUAAUCGGAAUUACUGGGCGUAAAGGGUGCGCAGGCGGUUUGGUAAGUCAGAUGUGAAAGCCCCGGGCUCAACCUGGGAAUGGCAUUUGAGACUGCAAGGCUGGAGUGCGGUAGAGGGGGGUGGAAUUCCCGGUGUAGCGGUGAAAUGCGUAGAGAUCGGGAGGAACAUCGAUGGCGAAGGCAGCCCCCUGGACCAGCACUGACGCUGAGGCACGAAAGCGUGGGGAGCAAACAGGAUUAGAUACCCUGGUAGUCCACGCCCUAAACGAUGUCG